rnacentral:rRNA from 1 species
AGCGGUUCGGCCGGGAACUCUAGGGAGACUGCCGGUGACAAACCGGAGGAAGGUGGGGAUGACGUCAAGUCAUCAUGGCCCUUACGGGUAGGGCUACACACGUGCUACAAUGGGCAGUACAAAGGGUUGCCAAACUGUGAGGUGGAGCUAAUCCCAGAAAACUGCUCGUAGUCCGGAUUGAAGUCUGCAACUCGACUUCAUGAAGUUGGAAUCGCUAGUAAUCGCGAAUCAGAAUGUCGCGGUGAAUACGUUCUCGGGCCUUGUACACACCGCCCGUCACACCAUGGGAGUGAAUUGUACCAGAAGCGGGUAGGCUAACCAUAAAUUUGGAGGCCGCUCACCACGGUAUGCUUC